CAGUAGCCACGGUAACACGGAGGGAGCUAGCGUUGUUCGGAAUUACUGGGCGUAAAGCGCGCGUAGGCGGUUACUCAAGUCAGAGGUGAAAGCCCGGGGCUCAACCCCGGAACUGCCUUUGAAACUAGGUGACUAGAAUCUUGGAGAGGUCAGUGGAAUUCCGAGUGUAGAGGUGAAAUUCGUAGAUAUUCGGAAGAACACCAGUGGCGAAGGCGACUGACUGGACAAGUAUUGACGCUGAGGUGCGAAAGCGUGGGGAGCAAACAGGAUUAGAUACCCCCGUAGUCCCUGUCUCUUAUAA
rnacentral:rRNA from 1 species